AGAGUUUGAUCCUGGCUCAGAUUGAACGCUGGCGGCAGGCUUAACACAUGCAAGUCGAGCGGAGAGAGGUAGCUUGCUACUGAUCUUAGCGGCGGACGGGUGAGUAAUGCUUAGGAAUCUGCCUAUUAGUGGGGGACAACAUCUCGAAAGGGAUGCUAAUACCGCAUACGUCCUACGGGAGAAAGCAGGGGAUCUUCGGACCUUGCGCUAAUAGAUGAGCCUAAGUCGGAUUAGCUAGUUGGUGGGGUAAAGGCCUACCAAGGCGACGAUCUGUAGCGGGUCUGAGAGGAUGAUCCGCCACACUGGGACUGAGACACGGCCCAGACUCCUACGGGAGGCAGCAGUGGGGAAUAUUGGACAAUGGGGGGAACCCUGAUCCAGCCAUGCCGCGUGUGUGAAGAAGGCCUUAUGGUUGUAAAGCACUUUAAGCGAGGAGGAGGCUACUUUAGUUAAUACCUAGAGAUAGUGGACGUUACUCGCAGAAUAAGCACCGGCUAACUCUGUGCCAGCAGCCGCGGUAAUACAGAGGGUGCAAGCGUUAAUCGGAUUUACUGGGCGUAAAGCGCGCGUAGGCGGCUAAUUAAGUCAAAUGUGAAAUCCCCGAGCUUAACUUGGGAAUUGCAUUCGAUACUGGUUAGCUAGAGUGUGGGAGAGGAUGGUAGAAUUCCAGGUGUAGCGGUGAAAUGCGUAGAGAUCUGGAGGAAUACCGAUGGCGAAGGCAGCCAUCUGGCCUAACACUGACGCUGAGGUGCGAAAGCAUGGGGAGCAAACAGGAUUAGAUACCCUGGUAGUCCAUGCCGUAAACGAUGUCUACUAGCCGUUGGGGCCUUUGAGGCUUUAGUGGCGCAGCUAACGCGAUAAGUAGACCGCCUGGGGAGUACGGUCGCAAGACUAAAACUCAAAUGAAUUGACGGGGGCCCGCACAAGCGGUGGAGCAUGUGGUUUAAUUCGAUGCAACGCGAAGAACCUUACCUGGCCUUGACAUAGUAAGAACUUUCCAGAGAUGGAUUGGUGCCUUCGGGAACUUACAUACAGGUGCUGCAUGGCUGUCGUCAGCUCGUGUCGUGAGGUGUUGGGUUAAGUCCCGCAACAAGCGCAACCCUUUUCCUUAUUUGCCAGCGAGUAAUGUCGGGAACUUUAAGGAUACUGCCAGUGACAAACUGGAGGAAGGCGGGGACGACGUCAAGUCAUCAUGGCCCUUACGGCCAGGGCUACACACGUGCUACAAUGGUCGGUACAAAGGGUUGCUACACAGCGAUGUGAUGCUAAUCUCAAAAAGCCGAUCGUAGUCCGGAUUGGAGUCUGCAACUCGACUCCAUGAAGUCGGAAUCGCUAGUAAUCGCGGAUCAGAAUGCCGCGGUGAAUACGUUCCCGGGCCUUGUACACACCGCCCGUCACACCAUGGGAGUUUGUUGCACCAGAAGUAGCUAGCCUAACUGCAAAGAGGGCGGUUACCACGGUGUGGCCGAUGACUGGGGUGAAGUCGUAACAAGGUAACC
rnacentral:rRNA from 1 species